AUUGAACGCUGGCGGCAGGCUUAACACAUGCAAGUCGAGCGGAGACUUCGGUCUUAGCGGCGAACGGGUGAGUAAUACCUAGGAAUCUGCCUAUUAGUGGGGGAUAACGAAUCGAAAGGUUCGCUAAUACCGCAUACGUCCUACGGGAGAAAGGGGGGGAUCUUCGGACCUCUCGCUAAUAGAUGAGCCUAGGCCGGAUUAGCUAGUUGGUAGGGUAAAGGCCUACCAAGGCGACGAUCUGUAGCUGGUCUGAGAGGAUGGCCAGCCACACUGGAACUGAGACACGGUCCAGACUCCUACGGGAGGCAGCAGUGGGGAAUAUUGGACAAUGGGGGCAACCCUGAUCCAGCCAUGCCGCGUGUGUGAAGAAGGCCUUCGGGUUGUAAAGCACUUUAAGCGAGGAGGAAGGUUUUUAGUUUAAUACACUAAAGAAUUGACGUUACUCGCAGAAUAAGCACCGGCUAACUCUGUG
rnacentral:rRNA from 1 species